AGUUAGUAAACCUUCCAAACAUGGAGAGAUGCUUUUUACUGAUUCUCAUAAUAGCACCAGGUGUUUUAUCUGACAGCAUUCAACCAGAAGACAAGGAAACUAAAAUUUACAGAAAAGAAGAAGAGCGUGUAACGCUGAGCUGCUCGUAUGAUACCAGCAGCGUUUAUGUCUAUCUCUACUGGUACAGACAGUAUCCUAACAGAGAACCAGAAUAUUUACUGUGGAAAGGUGCUCGAUCAGGAAGCAGUUAUAAGGAUAUACCAGACACUCGGUUUCAGUCGACUACAUCCCAAACAUCCACUGAACUCAUUAUUAAGAGUGUAACUCUGUCAGAUUCAGCUCUCUAUUAUUGUGCUCUAAGAGUAGGAGCCCAGUGA